GACGAACGCUGGCGGCGUGCCUAACACAUGCAAGUCGAGGGCUUUAGUAGCAAUACAAAGAGCACUGGCGCACGGGUGAGUAACGCGUAGAUCAUCUGCCCCUAACACUGACAUAACAGUUCUAACGGACUGCUAAUAUCAGAUGUGAUGAGCAAUCAUUAAAGGGAACCGUUAGGGAUGAGUCUGCGUCUGAUUAGGUAGUUGGUGAGGUAACGGCUCACCAAGCCUACGAUCAGUAACUGGUCUGAGAGGACGAACAGUCACACUGGAACUGAGACACGGUCCAGACUCCUACGGGAGGCAGCAGUGAGGAAUAUUGCACAAUGGGAGAAAUCCUGAUGCAGCGACGCCGCGUGUGGGAAGAAGGAGCUUAGCUUCGUAAACCACUGUCGGAGGGGACGAAUGAUAGGUUAGACCUAUUGAGACGGUACCCUCAAAGGAAGGAUCGGCUAACUACGUGCCAGCAGCCGCGGU
rnacentral:rRNA from 1 species